rnacentral:rRNA from 1 species
UAUGUGAUCGUCUCUCGCAUAUCAAUAAGCGGAGGAAAAGAAACUAACAAGGAUUCCCCUAGUAACGGCGAGUGAAGCGGGAAGAGCUCAAAUUUGAAAUCUUAAAGGGUUUCCCUUUACGAAUUGUAGUUUAAAGAAGUGUUUUCUGUUGAGGUUUUGGUAAAAGUUCUUUGGAAUAGGACAUCAUAGAGGGUGAGAAUCCCGUAUUUGACCUUUACUUUCAACUUUGUGAUACACUUUCAAAGAGUCGGAUUGUUUGGGAAUGCAGUCCAAAAUGGGUGGUAAAUUUCAUCUAAAGCUAAAUAUUGGCGAGAGACCGAUAGCGAACAAGUACCGUGAGGGAAAGAUGAAAAGAACUUUGAAAAGAGAGUUAAACAGUACGUGAAAUUGUCAAAAGGGAAGCGUUUGACACCAGUGUUGUUUUUCUGAAAAUCAAUUAAAGAACUGUUUAUGCUAAGUUGUUUAGACUUUAUCAGCUAACUGUUUAGUUUUGAGCUUUUCUUUAAUGCACUUUUCAGUUAACAAGUCAACAUCAAUUUCUUUUGCUGUAAAAAGCUUGAGGAAGGUGACUUGAGAUUCGUCUUAAGUGUUUAUAGCCUCUUGCCUAUGCAGUCGGAGAGAUUGAGGUCUGCAGCGUAGAUCCUUCGGGGCUAAAUGCAUUUGUGCUAAGUUAUAGCAUUUUAUAGACAACUUGUUGACUAUGAUUUGUCUUGUAGCUUACUCGCUUAUGUUAUUUUACCUACGCUUAGGAUGUUGAUCUACAGAGCGAGAGU